UUAGAAACUAGCUUAAUCGGUAAAGCACUAAUUUUUGGGAUUAGGUUAUAAAGGUUCGAGUCCUUUGUUUCUAAA
rnacentral:tRNA from 1 species